rnacentral:rRNA from 1 species
GCAAGUCGAGCGCAUCCUUCGGGAUGAGCGGCGGACGGGUGAGUAACGCGUGGGAAUAUGCCCUUCUCUAAGGAAUAGCCUCGGGAAACUGAGAGUAAUACCUUAUACGCCCUUCGGGGGAAAGAUUUAUCGGAGAAGGAUUAGCCCGCGUUAGAUUAGGUAGUUGGUGGGGUAAUGGCCUACCAAGCCUACGAUCUAUAGCUGGUUUGAGAGGAUGAUCAGCCACACUGGGACUGAGACACGGCCCAGACUCCUACGGGAGGCAGCAGUAGGGAAUCUUAGACAAUGGGGGAAACCCUGAUCUAGCCAUGCCGCGUGUGUGAUGAAGGCCUUAGGGUCGUAAAGCACUUUCGCCAGAGAUGAUAAUGACAGUAUCUGGUAAAGAAACCCCGGCUAACUCCGUGCCAGCAGCCGCGGUAAUACGGAGGGGGUUAGCGUUGUUCGGAAUUACUGGGCGUAAAGCGCACGUAGGCGGAUUAGUAAGUUAAAGGUGAAAUCCCAGGGCUCAACCCUGGAACUGCCUUUAAUACUGCUAGUCUUGAGUUCGAGAGAGGUAAGUGGAAUUCCAAGUGUAGAGGUGAAAUUCGUAGAUAUUUGGAGGAACACCAGUGGCGAAGGCGGCUUACUGGCUCGAUACUGACGCUGAGGUGCGAAAGUGUGGGGAGCAAACAGGAUUAGAUACCCUGGUAGUCCACACCGUAAACGAUGAAUGCCAGACGUCAGCAA